rnacentral:lncRNA from 1 species
AGUUUGAAAUAAGAACUGCUUGAAGAGAAGAAAAUAGAUUUAAAGAAUUGAGAAUUAGUAACAUCAUCAAUCUUAUAUUUCAGAGACUGAUCCCAGAAGUUAUUGCUUCUGGUCCAUUUGGUGACUGGGUGAAAAGUAAUUCUAGUGUCCUGUAAAAUCAGGAUAUUUGUGGGUUCUGUCCAUGAGGAUCGUGAAUAUUACUCCAAUGGCUUGUUUCUGUUCUUCCUUAAGAACAGAGAUUAAGAAAUCAGAUCUUCAGAGAAAAAAAUUCUCUAGAAAAUGGAUCCAGUUAGCUGAAAGAGUUCAUUCCCAUAUCCAUCAUAUCUGGGAAGUCAUGGCAGUCUGGUGAAGUUCCUACCGACUAGAUGAGGGGAAACAUGCAUUCUUAAAAAGAGGGAAAAAAAGAAGACCCAGGGAACUACUGGCCAUUUGGUCUCACCUCUGUGCCGGGCAAGAUCAUGGAGCAGAUCCUCAGGGAAAUUAUGCUAACACACGUGGAAGAUGAGGAGGUGAUAGAUGACUGCUAACAUUUCCCCCAGCUAAGGGCAAAUUGCUCCUGACAAUUCUGGUGGUCUUCUACCAGCUGUCACGGUGAUGGAAAUAGAGGGAUGUGGGUAAUAUGUGGGUAUGGGAAUAGCAACUGACAUCAUCUGCUUGGACUCAUGCAAAACAUUUGACACAGUCCUACAUGAUAUCCUUGUCUCUAAAUUGGAGAAAUAUGGAUUUGAUGGACCGCUUGGUGGGUAAGGAAUUGGCUGGAUGGUUGCACUCAAAGAGUUAGUCAGUUGUUCAAUGUUGAAGUGGAGAUCAAUGAUGAGUGGUGUUCCUCAUGGUUAGUAUUGGCACUGUCAUUGUUUCACAUCUUUGUAGGCAACAUGUAUGGUGACAAGCUGUGCGAGGUGGUUGACAUGCUGGAGGGAAGGUAUGCCAUUCAGAGAGACCUCAACAGGUUUAAGAGGUGGGCAUGUGCAAAACUCAUGAGGUUCAACAAGGCCAAGUGCACAGUCCUGCAUCUGGGCUCGGUCAUUCCCAAGCACAAAUAAAAGCUGAGUGCAGAAUGGAUUGAAAGAAGCA